GACGAACCGUGCGAACGUUGUUCGGAAUCACUGGGCUUAAAGGGCGCGUAGGCGGCUUGCCAAGUCAGGGGUGAAAUCCUUCGGCUCAACCGAAGAACGUCGGCCGAUACUGCCGUUCUUGAGGGAUGCAGAGGAGAUUGGAAUUCCUGGUGUAGCGGUGGAAUGCGCAGAUAUCAGGAGGAACACCGGUGGCGAAGGCGGGUCUCUGGGCAGUAACUGACGCUGAGGAGCGAAAGCGUGGGGAGCGAACAGG
rnacentral:rRNA from 1 species